rnacentral:sRNA from 1 species
CAGGAGGUCCGGAGUCAGCGGGUUACUAUUGAACCACAGUCCCGUCGGCAUCAACUUGACCUUCUU